AGGGCAGGGGAUCUCGAUGGUAGAGUCGUGUACUGCCAAUACUCGGGUAGGGGUUCGACUCUCCCUUCUGCCCUA
rnacentral:tRNA from 1 species